rnacentral:ncRNA from 2 species
CAACUGCAUAGCGGAACAGGUGCUUUCACCUUGAGGGGUGAAAGUGAAAAGGGAAGCCGGUGCAAAUCCGGCGCGGUCCCGCCACUGUGAGGGGGAGGGACUCCACAUAAGGUCACUGUCCAGCACUCACCGGUAAUAUUGGUAAAACCUUAAGCUAUAUUUUCACUAUUUGUCAAGCGUGCCAUUGGAUGUUACGGUUCAUCGGUGAGUGCUGGAUGGGAAGACGUGGAGUUACCCAUUGAUCCCGAGCCAGGAGACCUGCCUGUUCCCCAGAACCAGA